rnacentral:rRNA from 1 species
CAGCAGCCACGGGAAUACGGAGGGUGCAAGCGUUAAUCGGAAUUACUGGGCGUAAAGCGCACGCAGGCGGUCUGUCAAGUCAGAUGUGAAAUCCCCGGGCUUAACCUGGGAACUGCAUUUGAAACUGGCAGGCUAGAGUCUUGUAGAGGGGGGUAGAAUUCCAGGUGUAGCGGUGAAAUGCGUAGAGAUCUGGAGGAAUACCGAUGGCGAAGGCAGCCAUCUGGCCUAAUACUGACGCUGAGGUACGAAAGCAUGGGGAGCAAACAGGAUUAGAUACCCCAGUAGUCCCUGUCUCUUAUAC